rnacentral:lncRNA from 1 species
GGAAAUCUAUCGGUUGCCUAGUACACAUGUCCAACUAUUUACGUUCGCCCCACUAAUGGUCACCCCCAAAAGUAAAAAAGCUACGAAUUUUCAAAAGGGUCUUCGUGCCAACAUCUAUGACCAAGCUACGGUGCUGAGACUCAUCUCGUAUGCAAAGGUGCUAAAACAUGCCCAGUUGGUCAAAGACCUCAUCUCGGCUAAGCACCAAUGCAUUGCCCGAGUCUGUAUGCAACAACAAUAACCCCAACAGUUUAGAUUGAGAUUGCCUGACCUAGUAAGUGGCCAACUCGAUAAACAAACAAAAGUUGCCCUUCUCCUUGCUUUGCCUCCACCUACGGGUCAGCCUGCCUAACCUACCCAACCCUGUUAGCAU